UCAGACCCGAGGCUGUUUUGGUGGACUUCUCCAGGGCCAGAAACCUGUCCAGCUUCUGUGCAAAAUCAGGGGGCAGGUUGUGAGGGGAUCUGUGUGUCUUCAUGGUGGUGCUCAGCUCUUCUAAAAGGAAGCUAAAAUAAGAUAUUCAAGGCCACCUUUCAGAUGAAAGGCCAGGUACAACACAGCAGAUUUCUUCACACUGAGAAAGGGCAGCUUUGGCUUGAGUUGACCAACAGCAGUCAUGGCUUUGAUUAUGGGUACUGCCACACUCUAAAAGAGAAAACAAACAUAUUUCAGAAAAAAUAUGUGUACAAUAAUAGCAAACGCAACUGUGGUUAAGAUAAGUAAAUAAAUUAACACAAAAAAACAAAGCUUUAAACACUAUUUUACCACUUGUUAAAAACAUGGUUUACUGAUGGUUACACAAUUAUGUGACCAAUAUUUAUAGGUGGACAAAAGCAGCAUAUUCUGUGUUUCAGUGCCCUCUUACUUGUUCCAAAUAGCCCAGGAUCGGUAAAGAGGUUAGUGAGACCGGAUCUUCCAACGGAGGAAGUUUAUGUGGAAGUUUCUGGUCCCAGUAAGUCUCGGGUGACCUAAGAACAGUUCUGUUGUGAAAUAUCUGUUUUCUAUUUUAAAAUGCAUUUUAUUUCUGUAAUGGCAAAGUAAUUGCACUAGCCAAUCAGGAAUCCCCUCUGCAAAAUAACUACUCACUGGAGAAAUUUUUCUUGUUUCUUUUCACUCUCAAAGAUGUAGAUCUUAUUUUGGUACUCAACAGCAUAUUCUGUCUUUCCACGCACCAAAGCCUCAUACCUACAGAUAAGUGACAGGGCAGAAACCCUUCAUCUCCACCUGUUGAGGGAACCUACUCUUCACCUGGCCUGUACUGAGCUUAUGAGGCAGGAGUGGAGGAGGAGGUAAUGGGUAGGGGCAACCUGGAGCCACAAACUGUUCUGGGGACUCUAGGAAUUUUUAUUAAACACAUAAAGAGAGAUGUGAGUGAAUUAAACCAAUAUUUCUGUGUGCUGCUGCCUGGACCAUCUGAUCCUUUACCUCUAGAAAUUCCCUGCUGGCCAUUUUGUAGAAGUGGCCCCUGAACUCUGCAGCCAAUUCCAGUGAGGUAUUAUGUGAACAGUCCACCAGAUGGCGAUGAAGAGCUAAGCUAACUGGACAGUACUGCCCAAACUCCCCUAGCCGGGACUGCAGCUCUCGUGGGGUGAUGCACAGUCUGUCUAUACAGGCUGCCUGGCCUGUAAUCAUGAAUGUGUCUCAAGCUAAUGCGAACCUCAUCUAAAACUCGCUCCCACACCCACCACUUGCUCUUGUGAGCAUCAAUGGGAGUCCAGUUGUGAUACUGUUGAUGAAAGUGUAGCCUGAGAGCUUCAACUUCCCGCCUGAAGCAAGAGUUGCGUAUGUUUAGGACCUGGGGGCUGUCAUGCAUUGGGCCUCUCCGCAGCACUUCUGCCGUGUCCAGUUGCAGUUCAAUCACUAGCAUAGGAAUAAUGCUGCAGGAUUCCAGCAAUUCAGCCUGAUGCUUGGUCACAGGGAAGCCAUCCAACACAAACCUGAGGAUCACAAUCAGGAAACUCCUCCAGCAGCAUGGCCUCCAUCUCCUCCAAAUCCUGCUGCUCUUCAUCCAUCUCCUCUGAUUCUUCUUGCUCCUCCUCGUCAUCCUCAUCCUGAUGGAGCAACAAAAAUCCAGUCAGAAUCUGUCUGAGCCAUUCAGCGAAGCAAGGCACAAUGACAGCGAUGGAUGACCUGUUCUCUGAGAGGCCUCAGAGUGAGUGGGCUGGGUUUUUUAGGUGCAAAUUCAGCCAUUAGCUCAGCUCUUCUCUGUGUGAUGGCCCGCUCCUGCAGUUUGACACAGACCAAUGAAUAUUUAGUCCAAAAAAAAAAAGUUUCACCUGCUUUACGCUUAAUGACCAGACACAACUGUUCUUGCCUGCGGUCUCGUCUCUCUCUCCAACGUGUGAGCUGUGAAGGCAGGAGACGCCGCACCACGUCAGAAACCUCUACCGACA